UGAUAUUUUGUAAUAUGUUGAGCGACACUCCAUCCGAAAACUUAUUCAGUAUGUCAUCUUAUCGCGAAAGUUUGCGUUCUUUUAAUGCUUCAAAAGUGUUAUAUUUUGUGACCUUAAUUCACUUAAUUCAGACCGUAAAUGGCGGUGUUGUUAGUUGGGGGCGAGGUAGCGGUCGAUGGAAUCUUUGUAAAAAUCCGCCUUGUUAUACCGAGCCUCAACCACCAGAGGACUUGACAGUGUCUUCCAUCGUAUUAACAAUCCUAGUAGCGGUGAUUGUGUUAAUUUGUUCAUGUUCUUGCUAUAGACGAUUUCGUAAAAGAGAAACUGAAAUUGAACCUGAUAUUGAAAUGGCAAACAUUCAAGGAAAUAAAAUAAAUUUUUAAAGU